rnacentral:misc_RNA from 1 species
GGAAGUAAAGUCGUAACAAGGUUUCCGUAGGUGAACCUGCGGAAGGAUCAUUAUUGUAUAACCGAGGUGCGAGGGCUGUCGCUGACCCGAAAGGUCGUGCACGCCCGAGUGCCCUCACACACAUCCAUCUCACCCCUAUGUGCACCACCGCGUGGGUCCCCCUUUGGCUUGUUCGGAGGGGGGCUUACGUUUUCACACAAACUUUGUAUGCAGUGUAGAAUGUAUUUUUUGUUUUUGCGAUCACGCAAUCAAUACAACUUACAACAACGGAUCUCUUGGCUCUC